rnacentral:lncRNA from 1 species
AAGGCCACUUAGAAGUGUUUAGGGAACUCUCGUGGCUUGUUCCAUUUUGUUAGUAAAGCUUUCCCUUUACCCCCCACAAGCUUAUUUGUGACCUUGUGACUCAGUAUCCAAGGGACUACCUUCUGACAAGAACAGAGAAAUAGCUGGGUACUUCCAGGUGCCUCUUCCAGACCUGUUGCUGAAAGCAGCUCCAUCACCACCAUGCAAAGAAUUACUCUUCUUUUGCUGAGAGUUCGUUACCACUUGCAAUAAACAAGUUGAUUAUUACCUAACAAUGAUUAUAGUAAACAUAACGAAAUAAAAAAAAUGUGGUUAGUACCAAAACCAGUUUAGUAUUGAAAAUCUGGCUCUCCCCCUUGCUCUGGUUCUGUCUGCUUCCUGGUUCUAGGCAGGAAGGGAUUUCUUUGGCAGGCUGGCAUUGUAUGGAAAACCAAAUUUUACACGUGAACACUAACACUUGUGGGAUGCACUGAAACACUGAGAGACAAACUGCUGUUUUCUUGCAGGUGCUGUAUUGCUAUUUUACUCCAGGCCAAUUCAUUACUUUAAUUCCAGCAACAUUUAAGCUGUGGGGAACUGACCUCCACAUAAGCCCAAACAUCACAUAUUGCCAGCUGAAAUCCUGGGGGAGCUGGGAGCCCCUGUUAUUCCAAAAUGAUCACUUUUGAGCUUGAUCAUUUGAAUUUGAGAACCCUUUGCAUUUGGACAUGCUGACCUACUUGCCCUGGUGCUUAGGAUUAGCAGGAAACUAUAUUUCUACUUGUCAUCAAAGGAUCAAAAAUUGAAAACUACGUGUGAAGAGUCAGGAUGCGUAUCACUCAGCUCUAUUUAGAUGCACAUAAAACCACUUUCUAACAUUUUUAAUAAUCCUGUGUAUAAGUAAGUAUUACAGAAAAAGUUACAUUUUUUAAAAAGAAUAGAGCGGAUUACUUAGGCUUUUUUAUGUCCUAAAUAUACUGGGUUAUACUUUGUUUGUACUCUGUUUUUCUUCUGAUUAUGACGACUAUUGUUAGCUGACAAAUAAUAAUUUAGAAGCAAACUGUUCCCAAGACUUUUAGGCACUUUUUCCUACUGAAGAGGUACCUUGCUUCAUUUUACAAGUUACUGGGAAAAAAUAUUUAGUUCUCUACUUCUAAUGGAUCUCUGUUUUAACUACAUAUCUGAGUAUCUGAAAACUAUUCAGCAAGUUGGUAUGUUCUUCUCAUUCCCUUCUUUUAUUCACUA